CCGGAAGUAAUUUCAAAGCGUGACGUCACCUUUUCAAAAACUCAACGGCAACAGAGCCACUAAAUCUUCGAAUAUGGCUUCGGCUCUGGACAUCGUCAGCUGGUCAAUUUCAAGCUUUGUCCAGCCCGAUGGCGAAAGAAUCCCAUGUUCAGAGGUCAAAGCUAUGUAUUCAAAGGCGUUCGAAGGAAAGGAAAACAUCCCUGAUAUUCGCGAACUUGGGAGGGUUCUUAAAAAGCUUUUUCCGAAAAUUGUUAGAAUAAGAGAAAAAGUAUCUGGAGAAUGGUGCGAGAAGCAAGAAGUUUACGCCAACAGGAAUAACAUAUUUUUCGACAAACAAAUUUAAUAAAAGAGACUAGUAGAAACAAAGAGAAGUG